AAUGUUUUGCUGAUAUCAGCUGAUACUGAUAUAAAUAUAAAAAUUGAUGAAUAUUCUUUUAUUUUUAUGGAAUAAAACUAGAAAAUUAGUUAAUUUUAAUUGUUUCAACAGUUUAAAAUGAUCAGUAGGUACAUUCCGUAUAUUGCCUAGUCAAUAUGUCAGCAUUGUUCAAUUUUCAAAGCUUGCUCAGCGUUUUAUUACUCUUAAUUUGCACUUGCGCUUAUGUUAGAUCAAUCGUUCCCAGUGUACUCGAUCGGAAUAAAGUCGGAUUAUUUGGUUCAUUUUGGAAAUUAGCACGGAUCGGCGAACGUAAAAGUCCUUAUGUUGCAGCAUGUUGUGUGAUAAUGGCAUUUUCUAUAUUAUUUUCUUGAAGCUGGAGUUAUUUUAGUGUGAUUUACAUGUUAAAUAAUAACAUUUACAUUGUGGCAGUCCUUGAGUUAUUUAUACAAUAUAAAAAAUACGUCAGGUUAAUGCGAUACUGUACUUUUUCAAAAUUCAUUCGCAUCUACGUAUUAUGCUGUUGAAAAAAUGUCGGUCAAGGAUAAGGACAACGUUAUAAUGAAAAGUGACGAAUCUUGUGUCGCAGUGAACGUGAAUGCAGCAAACGUUGGGCACCAGAGACGUAUUUCGUCGCAAGAACUACGCGAUUCACUUGAAUACGAUAUAAUUGAGGAAUACAUAUGGCUAGGUAAACCGACUUCCUAUAUCAAUUCACAAGUACGAGCAAGUUCGGUUUAUCUACGUGCCAUUAGACUGAUAUUGGGUUCUCUAUGGGGUCCUCGGAGUACAGUUCCGUGGGAUUGGGAAGAACACGCAUUGGUUGCCGCAUCCUUUAUCAAGGACGCAGGAUUUGACUCGAAUCAUCUUCUCGUCGUUGAAUUUGUCAACGAAGAGAAUCCCGAUGUAAAGAAAACGAUGACACUUUAUUCGUCCGAAAAUUGUGAUGUUUUUGAAAAGAUACCAACAGAAUUUGUAGAUUUUUGUAGUAAGCUUAUGGAAAUUUGCAACAAAACUACUUCGAGUCAGCCCCAGCCAGGUAAACCAACGCCGAUGGUUGCACUUUUCAACUAUUCUCAAUCUAACCAUCAAAUCUUAAAUUUAAUUGAAGAAGGUUUUGACGUCAAAUCGGCGCUAACAAGUCUUUUACGCGAACUUGGGGUUAUAAAAAGUGAAAAACUAUGUAAAGUGCAAGCAUUUGAUCCUUAUAGGAAGUUUCCGGAUGUCGAGUUUGAACAGCGUCACAUCAAAUAUCGCGAAUCGGUGACUGAUCAUAAAUAUAAGUCACCAGCUGAGAAAGGCUGGAUAGUUACACCCAUUGAAUGCGAAAAUUUUCUUGAUCAAAUUGAAAAAACUAAAGCAUUAAACGAAGACUUUCGUAAAAUUGUGAUGGAAUUUGCUUCCAAUUAUUUACCGAAGACGAAAACUGAAACACAAGCGCAACCAUUUGUACCAACAAGCUACCCUUUCAUAACAGAGCAAAUUGCCCAUGUGUUUAAAUUAAAAGAUACGCUAUUGAAGUAAUAUUCAAUAAUUAAUUAGCUAUUACUCCAGCAAAUAUUAUACCAUUUUGUUUUUGAAAUGUAUUGUUGACAUUUUUUACGUGGAUAAAUUUACUUAUUAUUAUUAAAGAAGCUAAUACCUUUCAAUCGUAUAUACCUGUAUUUUUCUUAUCAAUGAGUUUAUAUUUUUUAAUAAAGUUUUUUUUUAUGGAA